CCAUCUGUGAGCACCGGGCUUUGGUCUGGUUGGGGUUGCAGGUCAGGCACCUCUCACGUGCCGACACCCUGAAUCCACCAACGCCCCAGCCUCCCUGCAGGACUGUGGCCCCAGGGCAGAUGAAGGCAGGCUGGACCCGGGCGCAGUGGGGGCCCCGCACCCACUCCUGACCCUGGAUCACCGCACAGGCGGCACCCGGCCGGCUCUGUGCCCCCAUCCGCACAGGAACCACCCAGGGCCAGCCGCCCAGCAGGGAGGAGGCCCCACAGCCAGCUGCCUCGGCAGAGCCAUCCCAGAUCCUGGGCAGACCCGGCCCCAGCCAGCCUCUGCGGGGUUCAGGAGCGGCGCACCCCACAGGGGCCAGGCUCUGGGGGUCCCGGUGGGUCCAGGCAGGAGCCCAAGGCUCCAGGGGCUGCAGCCCCCUCCUCGUUUCUCAGCGUGCCCUCCAGGAAGGGGCUGCAGACUCGGCAGGGUGGGCGACCUGGCCUGGGCGAGCUCGUCCACCGGCGGGUCGGCCCGCACGCCGCUGCCUGAUGCCUGCCGACCCCAAGCCACCAAGGAAGUGGGGGCCGGGGGGAGGAGGACGUGGGGUGGCGACACGCUCGCAGGGGGCGGUGGUGCCGUGCUGACCGUGACGACAGAGGACAUCCGGGUGCCAUCUUGUCCCUGUUCCUGUCGCACGCCCGUGAAGGUUAUAAACGCAGACUCACAAGCAGGUCCCCAUCAUGUGGCGGUUUGUGACGGCACCUCCAGGAGCCCCCAGGGUUACCAGGGACAGGGGAGCAGUGCGGGGCAGGCCUGUGGGAGCGGCAAGCCCCCCGAGCAGAGCUUUCCCGAGCCGUCAGGGCGCACUGAGGGGGCUCUGCCCAGGGUCUCGGAGGCAUAGACUGCCUUCUGCUGACGCCUCCUCCUCCAAGGAAAAUAAAGCCUUCUUUGUUCCCUGUAACACCGCAGGUGCGAUGCCCCUCCCGGCCCCAGCCCUGCUCCUGCCUUCCCAGCACCCAGGGCUCUGAGGCUGCACUCGGGCCAGGGGCCGUGGUCUCCCGGGCCUGGAGUGGAGUCGGCCUCAGGAGUUGGGAAAGCUCUCAGAACUCAGGCAGCUGGACCGGCCCAAACCUGGAAGGGGACAGUCCUUCUCGGCCCAGAGCCGCUGGGGUGGACGCCGGAGACAGGUGUCCACUCUAACUGCCCUUCCUGGAGCAGCCUGGACAGCGGCUUGCGUCCACCACCGCCUCGGCCCAGACUGUCCAACAAAGACGAGCCUUUUGCCUAGUUAACAGCCCUUCUUCUUCCAGAUAAAAGUUGAAAAUGGGUAUUCCUCUAAGCUUCAAAAUUACAAGAGCUGUGAUCUGCAGGAAGUUAUACAAGUGAGCAUCGGGCCGCUUAAGGCAGCUUGUUCCACUGGGGCGCCAGGCACUGCCCCCCCGUCCUGACCCCGCGUCACUUGGGCCGCUCCCCCCACCCCCGCAUGGCUGGACGUGGUCCUGGGCGGAGGGUGGAGGGUGGCUGCUCCCACGCCGCAUCCCACUGGAGGAGAAGGACCAGGGUAUGCGUCCCUCCACACCGCCUCCUUCCGGGGGUCGCUGCUCAGACCAGUCCCCACGCGUGCAGCCCAAGGAAAUCAACUGACGGUUAACACCAGCGUCACCGAAGAGAGGACAGGCUGCAGGGGGCACUGCAGGUGGGCUGCAGACCAGUUCCCUCUGAAACGUCCUGUCUCAGAGGACGUCGUGGUCUGCAAUGCCCCCACAUCGUCCUGGCUUAGAGGGCACCCCCAGAAGAGCCGGAGGCCCCAACAUGACCCACACUGGGCGCCACCCAGCCCAGGCCACCACCUGCUGCAACACUUGGUCAGAAAAAGGCUGAGGCAGACAGUCCGAGCUGCUCCCUCUGGGGGCCUGUCGCAGGGCAGGCUGAGCAGGAGGGACAAACCUCCCACUUGGACGUGUCACCGCCGGCCUGGGGUCAGAAGGGAAAAGCUCCUGGUCUCCAAGUGAGACAGCAGUUUCAGGAGCCGCUGCACCUGCGUCCUGCUCCCCGAGGCCAGUGUCAGGGGGCAGAAAGGCUGCCACGUCCUCUGGGUUCCCGAGUGCUCCCCCGGGACUGGGGUCCCCAGAGAGGGCCACCUCUCAGCGCCUCUCAGAGCCUCACAGCCACCCCGCGGCCAAUGCUUGUGACACUCAGCCACCGGCAAAGCCCAUGGGAGCCAGGCCUCAGGAACAGGCCCUGCUGUGGCCCCUCACGGGGUCGGCCCGCACCGCUCCCCCUGACCGGCCCUUCUCAAGUCAGCCCAGGACGGGAAGCCACAGAGGCCUCAGCCACAGGGCCUCCUCACAGGUGCUGGGACCAGGCCUGUGGGAUGAACCUGAAUCCAGCCUGGAUGCCGUCUAAGGCCAGGGCGUCGGAGACCCGCCCACCUCCAGGCAGACGCCUGGGCCCCUGGACGGCCCAGGGGAGGCCCCUCACAGCUCAGACGGCCUCCGCCUCCCUCAGGACCCGGAUGGUCCCAUUCACACCCGGCAGCCAAACUUCCUACCGACAUCUGAACAAAUUCAGCAUGUUUCUGCCUCCUGGUUCUUCUGCAAGACUCAGAGCUCAAAAGAAAUCAAACAUUAAAGAGAGUCCACGACCCCUUGCAGGACGCAACCGCUGGAGCUAUUUCCUUUGGCUGAACCGUCAAGUCAAGUUUCAAAGAGGAUUAACAUCUGUGAGGCUGCUGUUUUUCUCGAGAACCUUUUGGCGUUUUCUCACACAGUCCUUAUGGGAAGGGGGCCCAGGACCCACCAGGGGGCAUUUCUGGGGUGUCCUUAAUGCACGGUUGGCAUCUCUCUGGAAGUCGGGCGGGCAGCCGACGAGGUCAGUCUGAUCAGUGCAGUUUCCGUCCACGGAGACGUGAGCGAGCUGUGGGCAGGAGGGGGCAAGGCUGCAUCCUUCCCCGGAGGCACCUCGGGCGGGGCCCACGGGGCAGCACCGAGCCACCAGCCGGCAGAGAGGGGUCCUUCCCAGGUGACCUGCCCCAGGGCUGCUCAAGAAGGGUGACGCCCUGUCGCGGGCGCAGCAGGGCCUCCGGGGUGGGGGGUGCCUCAUGGGAGCCCACCCGGAGAUCCACCGGGUCGGCCAAGCUCACAGAGGCCCCUCUGGGCGCCCCCUCCAUCCCCAGGGCUCCAGGCCCGGCAGGCCGCCCUCCCACUCCGAGGCCGUGUCCCUCGGCGCGGGGGUCUGGAAGCAGAGUGGGCACCGGGCUCUUGGUCUGCGUCUGGUCCAAGUAAACCUGACAGCAACCCGACUGGACCAAACUCCCCAAGACAAGGGCGGGGUCCCCGAGGCCCUCCGUCACGCCUCCCCCCGGGGACCCGCAGGGCCAGUGGGGCAUCAUGGGCAGCCCUGUUUUCUCACCUUCCUCCAAGGCCCACCUCUGGCCCCUGCCGGCCCCGUGUUUGUGCUGGGCCUGUGUCUGAAACUGCUUCAAGUAACAAACACUGACAGCCCAGAGAGCCGCUGGGGCUCCCCCGGGUCUGAGGGAGAAUUCUGUGGGGCUCAGAAACGUCCCCAGCACAGCCGCUGGAGCCCUGGGAACACGACCAGCCUCUGGAGCACCGGGAGGCCUCCAUCAGACCGGGUCCCCCUCUCCUUGUGCCAUCAGGGCCUGGCCUCCAGCCCGGGUGGCCGCUGCGUGGGGUGGGUGCUGUGAGCAGCGUGAGCUGGGGGCGCCGCAC